rnacentral:rRNA from 1 species
GAUGAACGCUGGCGGCGUGCCUAAUACAUGCAAGUCGAACGGGGAGUAUCAAUACUCUUAGUGGCGAACGGGUGAGUAACGCGUUGGUACCUGCCCCGAAGCGGGGGAUAACGGACCGAAAGGUCCGCUAAUACCCCAUGUGCUCGGUAACGAGUAAAGGUGAAAACCACUUUGGGAGGGGCCUGCGUCCCAUCAGCUAGUUGGUAAGGUAACGGCUUACCAAGGCGAUGACGGGUAGGGGACCUGAGAGGGUGGCCCCCCACAAUGGAACUGAAACACGGUCCAUACACCUACGGGUGGCAGCAGUAGGGAAUAUUGGUAAUGGGCGCAAGCCUGAACCAGCAACGCCGCGUGUGCGAUGACGGCCUUCGGGUUGUAAAGCACUUUUGACUGGGACGAGGAAGGACGGUACCGGUCGAAUCAGCCUCGGCUAACUACGUG